GAUGAACGCUGGCGGCGUGCCUAAUACAUGCCAGUCGAGCGAACAGACGAGGAGCUUGCUCCUCUGACGUUAGCGGCGGACGGGUGAGUAACACGUGGAUAACCUACCUAUAAGACUGGGAUAACUUCGGGAAACCGGAGCUAAUACCGGAUAAUAUAUUGAACCGCAUGGUUCAAUAGUGAAAGACGGUUUUGCUGUCACUUAUAGACGGAUCCGCGCCGCAUUAGCUAGUUGGUAAGGUAACGGCUUACCAAGGCAACGAUGCGUAGCCGACCUGAGAGGGUGAUCGGCCACACUGGAACUGAGACACGGUCCAGACUCCUACGGGAGGCAGCAGUAGGGAAUCUUCCGCAAUGGGCGAAAGCUUGACGGAGCAACGCCGCGUGAGUGAUGAAGGUCUUCGGAUCGUAAAACUCUGUUAUUAGGGAAGAACAAAUGUGUAAGUAACUAUGCACGUCUUGACGGUACCUAAUCAGAAAGCCACGGCUAACUACGUG
rnacentral:rRNA from 1 species